GCAUGGCGUCUCUGCGAGGUGGCAUCCUCUCGUUAAUUCGGUCUAAGCCCUUGGCCUCCUCGAAGCUAGUGAUCUUAUGUUGUGGUGAAAAUCCUUUGAUAGCUAAAUAGAAAAUCAUUAAGAAAAGAGAGAGAGCGUUAGGUGGAGCAUACCAAAGGACACCGCGGCUGCAUCAAGUGAGGUUAGAGACUUCGUAGUGGGUGGGAAUCCUUUAGUGGAGAACAACGUGACAGGACCUGAAGACAACACAACAGACUCCUUACCAUACUGGAGGGAACCAAGGGUUUGAAAACAGCCAAUGUCUCUUGCCAACCAAAAUGUCCUCUUGAAGAGUUUAAGGUUGACCUUUACUGUGCUAGAGAUAAUGAGAAGUACUUGUGAAAACAACAACACCAAAAAAAACAACAACAACAAAAAAAACCCCAAAAACCCUUCCUCAGUGGGUGCACCAACAGUGAGCUGAAAAUAAAAACACAGACCAGGAACCAAUGGCAUCAGUUUGCUUUACUCCCUGUGAAGUGCGAGCCAGGUGAACCUCCAGGAGGCCAAUCAUCAAUGCUGAGCUGGGCUGCAUCUCCAUGGCUUAUUAAGGACAAUUUCAAGAGAGAUAUUCUGUAAAUGACUUCAGUGAUAAAAUGACAUUACGCAACUGUGGAGCUAUGAUCUCUUCUGCAAACUGAUGAUCCUGAAGGUGAUUCUAGUUUUAUAACCCAUACCACGAGGCAAUGCUGCUGCUGAACACCUCCAGUGACAACAGGGACCUGUGUAUCCAGUGAUCAGCGGCAUAUGCACAGACCUGCUUCAUAGUAAAGGACUCAGCACGGUCUAUGAAACCUGUCUAUUCAGGAAUGAUUUCAGGGGGUCACUGAAGGACUGUGUGUCACAUGACAGAUGGAGGGAUGGCACUUGGUGAGCACAAGAAGCUGGUAUCACUUGCUAGCUUUUCUUUUUCAGCUUCUUUCUUCACAGAUUUGUUUGCAUGAAAUUCUUUUAUUAUUUGCAUGACCCAGUUUUAAAAUUAUUGUAAGUGAAUCAUUUUUCCAAUUAUCUGUAUCAUCUCACAAUCAAUUUUGACUAACAAACUCAAUAAUUAAAAAACAACUAA